rnacentral:rRNA from 1 species
CAGUCGCCGCGGGAAUACGGAGGGUGCAAGCGUUAUCCGGAUUUAUUGGGUUUAAAGGGUCCGUAGGCGGACUUAUAAGUCAGUGGUGAAAGCCUGUCGCUUAACAAUAGAACUGCCAUUGAUACUGUAAGUCUUGAGUAUAUUUGAGGUAGCUGGAAUAAGUAGUGUAGCGGUGAAAUGCAUAGAUAUUACUUAGAACACCAAUUGCGAAGGCAGGUUACCAAGAUAUAACUGACGCUGAGGGACGAAAGCGUGGGUAGCGAACAGGAUUAGAUACCCGGGUAGUCCCUGUCUCUUAUAC